CCUACGGGAGGCAGCAGUGAGGAAUAUUUGUCAAUGGGCGCGAGCCUGAACCAGCCAAGUAGCGUGAAGGAUGACUGCCCUACGGGUUGUAAACUUCUGUUAUGAAGGAAUAAAGUGAGGCACGAGUGCCUUUUUGGAUGUACUUGAUGAAUAAGGAUCGGCUAACUCCGUGCCAGCAGCCGCGGUAAUACGGAGGAUCCGAGCGUUAUCCGGAUUUAUUGGGUUUAAGGGGAGCGUAGAUGGGUUGUUAAGUCAGUUGUGAAAGUUUGCGGCUCAACCGUAAAACUGCAAUUGAUACUGGCAGCCUUGAGUACAGUUGAGGUAGGCGGAAUUCGCGGUGUAGCAGUGAAAUGCUUAGAUAUCACGAAGAACUCCGAUUGCGAAGGCAGCCUCCUAAACUGCCACUGACAUUGAUGCUCGAAAGUGUGGGUAUCAAACAGGAUUAGAUACCCCUGUAGUC
rnacentral:rRNA from 1 species